rnacentral:rRNA from 1 species
UACGUAGGGACCAAGCGUUGUUCGGAUUUACUGGGCGUAAAGGGCGCGUAGGCGGCGCGGUAAGUCACUUGUGAAAUCUCUGAGCUUAACUCAGAACGGCCAAGUGAUACUGCAGUGCUAGAGUGUGGAAGGGGCAAUCGGAAUUCUUGGUGUAGCGGUGAAGUGCGUAGAUAUCAAGAGGAACACCUGAGGUGAAGACGGGUUGCUGGGCCAACACUGACGCUGAUGCGCGAAAGCCAGGGGAGCAAACGGG